AGAGUUUGAUCCUGGCUCAGAAUCAACGCUGGCGGCGUGCCUAACACAUGCAAGUCGAACGGGAAAGGUUCCUUCGGGGACCGAGUAGAGUGGCGAACGGGUGAGUAACGCGUGGGAAGCUGUCCUGGGAAGGGGGAUAACCCGCCGAAAGGCGGGCUAAUACCGCAUACGCCCCGCAAGGGGGAAAGCCGAGAGGCGUCCGAGGAGGUGCCCGCGUCCGAUUAGCUAGUUGGUGAGGUAAGGGCUCACCAAGGCNACGAUCGGUAGCCGGUCUGAGAGGACGGACGGCCACACUGGGACUGAGACACGGCCCAGACUUCUACGGAAGGCAGCAGUGGGGAAUUUUGCGCAAUGGGGGAAACCCUGACGCAGCAACGCCGCGUGGAGGAAGAAGGCUUUCGAGUCGUAAACUCCUGUCCUUGGGGACGAAGCAAGUGACGGUACCCGAGGAGGAAGCCCCGGCUAACUCCGUGCCAGCAGCCGCGGUAAUACGGGGGGGGCAAGCGUUGUUCGGAAUUACUGGGCGUAAAGGGCGCGUAGGCGGCCUGAGAAGUUCUGGNUGAAAGCCCCCGGCUCAACCGGGGAAGGUCCUGGAAAACCAUCGGGCUGGAGUGCUGGAGAGGCCGGCGGAAUUUCGGGUGUAGCGGUGAAAUGCGUAGAUAUCCGAAGGAACAUCGGAGGCGAAGGCGGCCGGCUGGACAGACACUGACGCUGAGGCGCGAAAGCCAGGGGAGCAAACGGGAUUAGAUACCCCGGUAGUCCUGGCCAUAAACGAUGGGUACUUGGUGUGCGGGGUGGAGAAAGUCCCUGCGUGCCGGCGAAAACUCGUUAAGUACCCCGCCUGGGGAGUACGAUCGCAAGAUUGAAACUCAAGGA
rnacentral:rRNA from 1 species